rnacentral:rRNA from 1 species
UACAGAGGGUGCAAGCGUUAAUCGGAAUUACUGGGCGUAAAGAGUGUGUAGGCGGUGCUCUAAGUUCGGUGUGAAAUCUCCCGGCUCAACUGGGAGGGUGCGCCGAAAACUGGAGUGCUGGAGCGCGGGAGAGGAAAGCGGAAUUCCUGGUGUAGCGGUGAAAUGCGUAGAUAUCAGGAGGAACACCGGCGGUGUAGACGGCUUUCUGGACCGUAGCUGACGCUGAGACACGAAAGCGUGGGUAGCAAACAGG